GGAAGAUAAACAUGCCGGAAGAGAGCCCUGGAGUUUAACUCCUAAAUUAAGCGUCUUGCUGUAACAGACAGGUUGUUAGUCCAUAGCAUGAUGUCUGCGGAACAGAAAGUGAAACAGAUACCCACAAGCCUUCUGACUUCCAUUUCGGAUACAAUGGUAGAAACAGACAAAGAGUACGAGACAUUCAUUAGCCAUAUGGGUGUAUACGUUGAACGUGGCCUUAUUAUGCAACAUAAAACGUUUUUAGGAAAACUGAGCACUCUGGAGAAAAAGGCAUUUCUUGGACCUGGAAAUUAUAAAUUUCUUAAAGAAAUAUGUAUUAAAAGCGGGAACAAUUACCUGAUAGACUACAUAGAGACUGCUGAAAAAGAAAUUAUGAAGGUUCGGAAGGAAUAUGGAGAAGGAGCCCUAUCUGGAUCCAAACAACUGAAGAGUGUGGAUGAGUCAUUAGACACUGAUGAUGCUACUGAAGAAGAAUCAACAAAUAUUGAGGCUAGUAAUCUGCAUAUUGAACAACGUUACCAAGACAGUACACCUAGAAAACGGCCUACUUCAGACUUGUCUGAUCUAGCCCAUUCUGGGUCAAAACAAGCAAGGAAUGAGUAUGAAACACAAAAGGCGGAAGGGCGAUGUUACCAUACUAACAAAGACGUAUCAACCACUAUUGAACCUAUCGAUGUGCAGGCCCAACAACGUAUGCGAGAGAGUGUACUUAGAAAACGGCGCUCUUCAGACUCUCCUCUACUAGUCACGUUUAACAGUCCUACGGAAAAACAGCAGUACAAUAACUGGGUUUAUGCUGGACUAUUGCUUAAAUGUGUUCUUCAUGUACUUUCGCCUUUCUGCAAUGAUGUUGUAAACAAGCAGCACCGUGUGAUAUUAAAUAACGUGAAACGAAAACACAACAUUAAGAAUAUAGAGUGCGGCGGGUGCAUCUUGUGGAACCUUCAACCAGACCACGUUCGCACAAAAAGAACCCAUUGUCCGUUUGGUCAAUCCAGAUGUAACUGUAUGUUCCCGCGGGGUAAAAUACCUUGUCCAAAUUAUGUAUGUGGCGCUAUAUACGACGAGAUAAUGAAACUCCAUACCCCCAGACACAAGGACCAUACUGAGAGAACACAGAUAUACAAAAAUGGUGCACAGAUCCAUGGUCAAUUGCUAAAUGUUUCAUCAGUCAUGCAUCUAAAAGCAUAUCAGACACCGACAUUUCUGGAAUACUACAACUAAUUGGCAACAACAUAGAGUUUCAUAACCAUAUUACAGAAAUGAACCGUAUCAAGAAGUUACGUCAGUGGAGAAACACAGUAUCUCAUUCCCCUACCAUGGAGCUUGAUGACAAGCAACUCGACAUAUUGUUUGAGGAUAUAACAACCUUAUUAGAAAACGAACAGGAACUCAAGACCAGACAGGAGAC
rnacentral:misc_RNA from 1 species